CUUACCUGUACCAGUCACCUACAGGUAUCCACACCUACCAGUCACCUACAGGUACCCACACCUUCCACGCACAGCCCUACGUACCUGUAUCAGUCACCUACAGGUACUCACAACCCUACUUACCUGUACCAGUCACCUAAACUGCUGAGCUAUAUGACUAGCUAUCAUUCUUGCAUACCUGUGCAAUACCUAUUUGUCUAAAGGGGUCUGGUCACCUGUUUUAAACAACCAUCACUUGCACAUUUGUCACACUGGCCUACAACCCCUCCAAUUUAGCAGUGACCCAGUAAGCUCUCUGUCAACAAGUAGUAGACUGCUGGAGGAGGACAGUAGGGUGUACUGGAGGGAGGGAGGACAGGUAGGUGUGUGGUGUACUGUAGGGAGGACCGGUAGGUGUAUGGUGUACUGGAGGGAG